rnacentral:rRNA from 1 species
UACGAAGGGGGCUAGCGUUGCUCGGAAUCACUGGGCGUAAAGCGCACGUAGGCGGUUUCUUAAGUCAGGGGUGAAAUCCUGGAGCUCAACUCCAGAACUGCCUUUGAUACUGGUGAGCUUGAGUCCGGAAGAGGUGAGUGGGAACUGCGAGUGUAGAGGUGAAAAUUCGUAGAUAUUCGCAAGAACACCAGUGGCGAAGGCGGCUCACUGGUCCGGUACUGACGCUGAGGUGCGAAAAGCGUGGGGAGCAAACAGGG